rnacentral:lncRNA from 1 species
UUUAGUUUUCUUUUUAUCUAGUAGAUUAAAAGUCUUAGUGUUUUAGUCUUGAGUUUCGCUUUGUGUCACCCUCAAUGUAUUCGAGCUCGUGAGCCAUAUAAUAAAGAGUGUCUUAGUUGAGGGCUUUGCCUCUUGCCAUGAUCAAAAGAGUGAGAAAAGAACAAAAGCAUGAAAGAUCAUGUAAUGAUCUUAUGGGAAGUCAUGGCUUCACAUAUAAAAAGAAUGUUGAUUGAAACUUGUUAAGGGUAGACAAACGUAG